rnacentral:lncRNA from 1 species
UUUGCGGGCAGAAGUACACAUGUAGUUUAUUAGCUUUGAAAUUUCAGCUGUUACUCUAAAUUUUGGUGUAGAGUUCAUGAAUUUCAAUAUGUAAAAAGUUGUCAAAGUCGUUUCCUAAACAUAUGUUGCCUUAAACUUAAAUUGUCAAGUUAUUAUCGAGGCUUCUUUUCACUAGUGAAUAUUUAAUCCGUGCAAACUGCUGGCGGUUUGCAUCUGAUUUAGUUUUUAAUUUGAUAAAGGGAGAUAACUACUUAUACUACAGAAAACGUUUUCGUUCAUGUCAAGUGUUUACUUCGUCGGAAUUAGACAAUUACUCUAAGUAUUCGUCAUAUUUAAAGCAAUAACCAUUGCCUUUCAUGUCUAAGUUUCUUCAAUUAAGAUUCAUUUACCAAAACGUUCAUGAAAAAUAAAAAAAAUAAUACUGGAUGCGCAAUAAGGAAGAGUUGUUACCUACUUUUCUGUACUAUUUACAAAAAAGGAUGAUAAAUGGAGAAAACUGUAUAGUGAGAAAAUCGCAUUUCAUAGAAGUAAUCUAUUCAUUCCCUAAAGGCUGCAUAAACGCUUUUAAAUUCGAGUUGAAAUUGUGAUUUGUACUCUAAAUCUUAGAUAUCAAGCUUGUCGCCGUUAAAAAUUAGUGUCAAAUGGGAAGUUGUGUGUAAAGCGUUUGAACAAAAACAAAACAAACGUCCGUGAAGCAUGUGUUUCGUGUGCGUCAACAAAAACACCCACUUUGUGUAACGAAGAUUUUACGCAUCGGUCCCGUCUUUGUGGAUGUAACAAGUGUGUCACACAAUGUACGUCACUAACACCCGAGUUCAUGUCACAUACGUUGGUUGACUUAUUGUUUUGCCCUUUCCAGGGUGGCUUCCUAUCGCCCUUUAGGGCGUGACGUUCAGUCUUGUCACGCAACAACAUCAAGAUGCCUUUGAGUGAAAACAAAGUCGUCGUGGUAUUAACGAUAGCGAGGCUGUUAGCCUUUUAGUUAAAGUAUAUAUUGAAGAAGCAUUGCUUUCUAGUUUUAUUGAUUAGAAAUGUUUUUAAUUUUGAACAGUGAACAGGCCCUUUUCUAAAAUUGCGACUGAAGCCCAAAAGUUAUAAUCAGAAAACACAUUCUCACCGCAACAAUAAUGCCCACCAUAAUAGAUUUUACAAUUUUCAUUUACGUACAAUUCCAAUUAUUGAGAAAGUGUCAAUAUGGCGUUUUCCGUAUUACAAUGCGUUCGUAUUGUUGGGGAUGUGGUUUCUUCUUCAGGUCUAUAUGUUCUCGGCUUAUUAAAGAGUUAUCAAAUGAAAUGUGCAAUAUUACUGAAUUCAGGGUGCUUACUUUUGGACUUAAAUUCCAGAACAAUAGUAUUGAUAGUUAGCCGCCAAUUUUGAGAAGGUCUGUUCAGGUUUGGACACAGAACUAUCCUUUUCUUUCUGACGUUAUUCUGUGUAACCUACAAACAUGGUUUUGAUUGAGCCAUAUUGGUAUUAUAAAGAUUCACAAGAUUUUGUGGUCUUAGUAUGUAAAUAAUAAAGUAACUUAAAUUAUCUCGAUGGUGAGUAAUGAUGUUUAACACGAUUUCUUGAACUUUGUUUAAGAAGCUUGCUUGUGCAGGUACCGCUAGAAAUUUAAAGCGGUAAAAGAGAAAAAUUUCCUUUUGUGUUUUUCGUUUUGUUAUGUUAGUUACUGACAAAAAAACCGACCGAGUAAUUCAUACUAACCAUAACCUAACAAGCGCAUCAGUCAAUUCAACUUCCUCUUGAGAAGGGUAAAAGGGAGUAAGAUUAGUAAGAAAGAUUUAACGUGGCUGUUAUCGUUUGACAUCCUUCAUUAAUAAAGACUAUUCUUGCCGCAAUUCUGCGAGCUUAUGGACUAUCUGAGUGAUCCCACAAGUCCAUUCGCACUAAACUAGUAUUCAGUCCUCCUAGUUUCAGGAACCGGAAAUUGGAUAGAAAAUAUUUCAUUGUUGAUUUUAGAGAAAUAGAUUUUCACCAAUUUCGUCAACGGAAUCGGUGAACUCAAACAUUGUACUUACUUUUGGGGUUUACGCCUUACUAUUUCGGUUCGCCCAAAUUCUUAUCCGUAACUUUGAUUCGUUGAUAAGUAGGUGGCGUCAACUUAUCCGUAUUUCUCCAUACCAAUUUAGACUUAUCUCGCCAGACCCUUUGUUGAAGGCAUCAAUAGGGUAGAAUAUAACAACUUCAUUGGUUUACUCUCUAUCAAGAUACAUGUACCGUUGGAGAUUAUUCUGUGUAUUGUUACGCAACUACGGCAGCAGCCUUACUCUUCACGCAAUGAUAAACGGGUUUACGUGUUACAACUGUUCUCUUAUUAGGGGGAGUGGAGGGGGGGAUGGUUUGUCAGGACUUGCAUCGACAUCUUUGAAAAAUUUUCGCAUCACGAAGUAGCAUAACUAGCCCUGGGUAAUUAUCGGUUUCCUAAUCUCAUGGCCUCAUUUUUAUCCUGUGGCAAUUUUUCUGAUAAGGAUAAUGGGUCUCAAUAAAGUGAAGAAACCCUUUUUUA